ACCGAUGAUGUGGAUUGCUAUAGACACAACAAUUGGAAUGUUAACUGCCUCCGUUAUGUCAAAACGGCAAGUAGUUGACUCCAUUAAACCGCUUGAACGAGAACAUUAUGCAACUAAAAGACAAGCAGGCUAAUACGAGCAUCCGCCCAACACCGAAUAUCUGAGCUUGAGAUCACAUGAGGCAUUUUAUGGUACGAUGUGACCAAUAACAACAACAGGUAGAUAUCAAGAUACCACUGAAUGUCUGAUGUGAAGGUCACAAGGUGCGCGUCCUGACAGCGUGUGGUCCGGGGUUGUCCGGCAUGAACCUGAAGCAAAGGGAGAUGUAGUUUGCAGAUAACACGUUCUGUUGUGUUUGAAAAGUAUUGCAAGAGUGAGAUAAAACUUGAUACUACUGUGCUAUAAGAUGAACGACACUCAACAAUUAGUCUUCAUCCUGCAAGCUCCUGACCUGGUUUGAAGAUAUGAAAUCUAAAUUGUUUAAUAAAACAAAUUCCUUUCGUAACAAAUGAGCAUUUAUUUCAAGAUUGAAAGUGAUGUUAAAUAGUUUAAUAUAAAAUAUUGUUUUCCGAAGAAUUGUUUUACAAAAUAGAAAAACAUACUUAAAUGAUAAUCACAACUGACCGAUAAUAUUUUUUCGACUAAACGUACAUAGACAAAUGAUCUGUUGCAGACGCCCUCCGAUUUUUUAACAUAAGCA